rnacentral:rRNA from 1 species
UACAGAGGUCUCAAGCGUUGUUCGGAUUCAUUGGGCGUAAAGGGUGUGUAGGUGGCGCCGUAAGUCAGGUGUGAAAUCUCGGGGCUUAACUCCGAAACUGCAUUUGAUACUGCGGUGCUUGAGGACUGGAGAGGAGACUGGAAUUUAUGGUGUAGCAGUGAAAUGCGUAGAUAUCAUAAGGAAGACCAGUGGCGAAGGCGGGUCUCUGGACAGUUCCUGACACUGAGGCGCGACAGCGUGGGGAGCAAACAGG